CCUACGGGUGGCAGCAGUGAGGAAUAUUGGUCAAUGGACGCAAGUCUGAACCAGCCAUGCCGCGUGCAGGAAGACGGCUCUAUGAGUUGUAAACUGCUUUUGUACGAGGGUAAACGCAGAUACGCGUACCUGCCUGAAAGUAACGUACGAAUAAGGAUCGGCUAACUCCGUGCCAGCAGCCGCGGUAAUACGGAGGAAUCAAGCGUUAUCCGGAUUGAUUGGGUUUAAAGGGAGCGUAGGCGGUCGGCUAAGUUAGAGGUGUAAUCCCGAGGCUCCACUUCGGAAUUGCCUCUGAUACUGUUCGGCUAGAGCGUAGUUGCGGUAGGCGGAAUG
rnacentral:rRNA from 1 species